UAGGGAAUCUUUGGCAAUGGACGAAAGUCUGACCGAGCAACGCCGCGUGAGUGAAGAAGGUUUUCGAAUCGUAAACUCUGUUGGUAGAGAAGAACGUUGGUGAGAGUGGAAAGCUCAUCAAGUGACGGUAACUACCCAGAAAGGGACGGCUAACUACGUGCCAC
rnacentral:rRNA from 1 species